GCCAGCAGCCAUGCAGCUCACAACUGGCAACCCACAGAAGCUAAGCAGGUGUGAGCCUGGUCAGUACCUGGAUGGGAGACCUCCUGGGAAAAACUAAGGUUGCUGCUGGAA
rnacentral:rRNA from 1 species